rnacentral:tRNA from 1 species
GGGCGGUUAGCUCAGCUGGUUAGAGCGCUGGUCUCACAUACCAGAGGUCGGGGGUUCGAGUCCCUCACCGCCCA